AAAUCCCAAGCGCAAUCACACUUCGCCAGCUUGCCUGAUCCGGCCCGGUCCGAUCCGGUUGAUUUAGGUGAGCUCCGAUCCCGUCACGCCAUUUCGAUUUUGUUCUAGGUUUAGCUCCACUGUUCUGAUUGAGUUCGUAAUUUAAGGCCAUAUUUCGUCUUAGGUCCCUAGGAAUUUUAAUAGCGUGGAAGUGGAAUCAUGCGCCCUUUUGUUAGGGGAACCAACACUGAUCGGGUAAUUAGUCAGUUUCUACGUGGACAUUGGGUUAUUUUGUGCACACUCGAUAGUGAUAAGCUACUCAAUGAAAUAUUUAGUGUUCUAAGGAGUACUGAUUUGGGGUAAAAUGUAGAAAUAUGACUAAGAUUGAAGGGAUCUUUACGCAAGCUUGCUGUGAAUAUUUGAGUCUUAGACGUGAAAAAUAUGCAGUUGAUAUACAUGGACAUCUCAGAUCGCUCCUGACGUCAUUUACUUGUUGCUGAGUGCUUACUGCAGCUACAAAGUUUAUCCUGUAAAGCUGUAGGUUUCUAUAUUUUCCAGUUAUAAUGUUCAUGAAUCAUGAGCAUAAAAUAGUGCUAAAAUGUUCAGAGACCAAUCUAGUUGGUAGGCAACUUAAUUUGAAUUUAUGAUGUCUGCCUUGCAACCUGAUUUUUCUUACAGUUGCAGAACAACCUGAAAUUUGGUAAUGGUCUGUUUGGUUAUAUUGAAAUGGGAACUCAUAUUCUGGCUUACAGCUCCUUUAGUCAUUGGAAGGAACAGUACUUUAUCAAGGCCCAAAUCUUGGUUUAUACACCCAAUUUUGAAACCUGAAGCUAUGUGACUAAGGCAGACAAUUUACUGAGCCAGCAGGUUAGUUUAGCUACAUGGGUGUGAAAACACAUAAUUGCCAUGAAGCGUCAAAUUCAACAAAAUCUGUAAUAAUAAAUAUGUCAUGUGAGCUUACCUAUGCCGAUAGGCAAAAUAUUGUAUAGGAUAUAUCUACCGGUUACAAUUUGUUGCAGACAAUGUUGAAUUCGAAGGAAUCUGCCCAGUAGAAGAGUGAAUGAUAUGUUUGAUAAAUAGAAAGUUUUUUAUUUUGCAUUGUUGAUAGGUUUGAUAGCCUUAGCUCAUAUUUUUAUGAUAGACAAUGUAUGAUGUUCAGUUAACCCUUUUAUACGAGUACUCCUGCUCUUCUGUUGACCUUGUCCUUAUCUAGUUUGCAAUCUUUUAGGGCCCCUUUCUGUAUCAAAUUCCUUCGUUACCCCUCUCUGCCAACACACUCCUAUCGGCGAUUUAUUGGCUAAGAUUUUUUUGGCCACACACUCCUCAGCUAUACACCCAUAGAACACACCCCUAUCGGCCACAUGCCUUUUGGCUGCACAUCUGUAGGACACUCAUCGACUAUAUGCUUACCCACCACACGCCCUUUUAGCCAUGCAUUUAUCGGCACAAACCCAUCAGCCACAUCCUCUUCAGUCUAAUUCCGCACUUGUGGUCUCAUCAGCCUAGUCCGAUAUUAGUGUUCUGUUUCACCUAGUUCUUGUAACAGGUCUGACUUAGAUAACCCCAUCGGCUGUACGUCACUCAAUUGUUGUGCUGACGUAAUCGAGCCGAUACAACCACACCUAGUUACCUAGGAUAACACUUAAGCACACGUCAGUCAAGACAACUGUUUUAGGAAUCAUCCCUCUACUAAAGUGAUCGAUGUUUUCAUCGAUCAAUCAAGAAAUCGGUGCACCUAUCAAUCGGCUACUCAGACCAAAGUAUAUAACCCUAGAUCAGUAAGCUAGCACAGUAGAUACGCCUCUAUUAAGCUCGACCUAAGCACAUCAAUCAGCUAAACUCCCGUUGUUUCCAAUCGGCUCUGUUGUAACCCUCAACAAGUAGUCGAUUCUAACUAGUUGUCCACCUAAAGCUCUGUUUAAGUUUAGCUUCAAAUCUUUUUGGUUGUUAUGUCAAUAAUGUGUUAUAUGAGUGCUGGAUUGCAGCUUUGCUGUGAAAUAAAAUAGUUUUGUGUGCACGCUUGAAUGUAAUGUUGCAUUACAUGUAGAUACGACUACUUCGGCAACGGUACCUACGAGAUCUCCUCGGAGUCUGUGGAGGAUGUCUCUGAAGACCAAAUGAACGUCACCAAGGGAUUAUCUGAAGCCCCGAACCAAAGUUCGGAAGAUGUUGACAUUUCUAACUUCAGCCCCACCAGUAAAGGCAAGCCCCGGACAUAACCUACUAUUUUUAUUACACUGCAAUCUAUAUCUAUUUACGUAUUCUAUGCAUUAAGUUCUUAGGAAUUGCUUGAAACCCUAGUUGCAUUCUUCUAGGAACCAAUGUGAUGUCCGUCCUAGCUCUUGAGUCCGACUAGCUGCUAAGCUAAUAGGGCCGGUAGAAGUCGUGUGAUUUUCUGUCACUCGCGCGAUAUAAGAGUUGUAAUGUUUACAUUCCUGUUAUCACAAUAAAGAUGACGGACGGGAGUUUUGUGAGGUAUCAUGGUUGAGGUGAUACCCCGUCUGUGUUGUUGAAUCUGUUAAGGUCGCAGCGUGUGGAAGUGCAGGUUAAGUGUUUGAAAGUACUAGCCACAUGCCGCGAAAUAUGGUAAGUGGUAAGCCUAGUAACCAAUCGGCCCGAGGAGUGGACAUACCUCCCACCACAUGUAUUUGGUUCUUCUGGUUACUUGGUUCAGCUGGGGAAUACGUGUUGCAAGGGCAACGAGGAAUACGGGUUUUGUAGUCGCGCUACAGACGUAUGUCCUGCACUUUGGAAGUGCGUAUGGUCCUGCAGUCGCUUGUGGUGGAUCUGAUCCACGAGUCGGAAUGAAAGGCAAACGGUUGCUUCGGAACGACCCUUUGGUGUUCCAAGCGUGUGAGUUAGGUUUAUCUUGUAAGGUUGAAUUUCGAUUCAGGAAUCGUCCGCCUCUCACGAUGCAUGAGACUGCUUACCCCCUUUUCCACAUUGAGUAAUAAGAGCAAUCAUAUGAUUAUUAAAGAUGAUGUUUGACCAAAGAUUCUACCAUGAUUGAAUAGCUAUAGGUGCUCAUCUAGAUUGAAUAACCACAUAGAAUCUGAAAGCUAAAAGUUGACAUUAAGGAUCUACCUUUAUCGCUUUUCAGCUGAAACUAAAUCCAGAACCAUUUCAAGCUUCCAUAAGUCUAGUUAUGGGCUAAAGUAUACCCAAUCCCGGGUAAGCCUUGCUGAGUAUUAGUAUACUCAGCCUUGCUAGUUAUAUGUUUUGCAGAAAAUGUCUUGAAGACCCUACUCUUCCCUUGCCUUGGCCCUGUGCUCUUCCAGAAGAUUGGUCCGUGGAAUGGGAUUCGUCCUCGGCCAACACUGGUGAUAUCGAGUGAUGUCGUGCCCGGGCUUAGCAUGACACCCAUCUUGUCGACGUGCUAUAGAUCAUCGCGUAUGUUUUCCGCUGCUAAAAAUCUUAGCUUAAACAGUUUGUAUUGUUUUCUCUUAGUUUGAAACUUUGUACUACUUUUAUAAACUCUUGUAAUGUAAUUCCCUGUUAUGUAAAUUAUGAUGGUGAUUGUAUCUCUGGACUCACCUUCGUGUGAGGUAACCUUAUUGAUCCUGUGUAUCGGUGGUUUAUCGGGACGUUACCC
rnacentral:lncRNA from 1 species